UUUGCAGAACAGAUUCAUCCAGGAAGAUAGUGUCCUCACUGGUGGAGCUGUUUGUCACUCACACUUUGCUGCAAAUGGGAAUAUUUUUGGACUCGUGCAUCUUUUGGUUUGGAGGAUGACAGUGGGAUAAGAGGCAGUGGAGAAGAACACUGAGAUGGAAGCGGGGAAUGAGAAAAAGGAAAUAUCUUCAGAUCCCUCAAGAUUUCAGCUGUCCAAUGGUGGAAUCAUUCUACGGCAUACUUCCUAAGGUCCACACAGGGGAAGAAAUCAUAUUCAUCUGGACUUUGAGCAUUAGCAGAGUAUGAUUUUGCUCUGAAAGACAUAAUAUGUAUUUACGGUAUAUUGAAUGGUAUUCCUGUCUCUCUAUCCCUAACACUACGCGCACCACAUGAUAAGGCAUGGAUGCUUCCCAAGCAAGCAGUUUAGGAAUUUCAGCUCCAGAUUUCCAAAAUUUCCAAUGCUGAGCAUUUACUGUUAUGUUUCACAUUACCUUUGAACUCUCCAGGCCCUAUUUUAUAGAAUUUCCUGCAAGA